rnacentral:rRNA from 1 species
UACGGAGGGUGCGAGCGUUGUCCGGAAUCACUGGGCGUAAAGGGCGCGUAGGCGGCCUGAUAAGUAGGGGGGUGAAAUCCUGCGGCUUAACCGCAGGGCUGCCUUCUAAACUGUCAGGCUCGAGCACAGUAGAGGCAGGUGGAAUUCCCGGGUGUAGCGGUGGAAUGCGUAGAGAUCGGGAAGAACAUCAGUGGCGAAGGCGGCCUGCUGGGCUGUUGCUGACGCUGAGGCGCGACAGCGUGGGGAGCAAACAGG